rnacentral:rRNA from 1 species
GACGAACGCUGGCGGCGUGCCUAAUACAUGCAAGUCGAGCGCAGGAAACUGACGGAACUCUUCGGAGGGAAGGCAGUGGAAUGAGCGGCGGACGGGUGAGUAACACGUAAGGAACCUGCCUCAAGGAUUGGGAUAACUCCGAGAAAUCGGAGCUAAUACCGGAUAGUUCAACGGACCGCAUGGUCCGCUGAUGAAAGGCGCUCCGGCGUCACCUUGAGAUGGCCUUGCGGUGCAUUAGCUAGUUGGUGGGGUAACGGCCCACCAAGGCGACGAUGCAUAGCCGAGCUGAGAGGGUGAUCGGCGACACUGUGACGGAGACACGGCCCAGACUCCUACGGGAGGCAGCAGUAGGGAAGCUUCCACAAUGGACGAAAGUCUGAUGGAGCAACGCCGCGUGAGUGAUGAAGGUUUUCGGAUCGUAAAACUCUGUUGUAAGGGAAGAACACGUACGAGAGGGAAUGCUCGUACCUUGACGGUACCUUACGAGAAAGCCACGGCUAACUACGUGCCAGCCGCCGCAGUAACAC